CUUGUACACACCGCCCGUCACACCAUGGGAGUUGGUUGCACCAGAAGUAGGUAGCCUAACCGUAAGGAGGGCGCCUACCACGGUGUGGUCAAUGACUGGGGUG
rnacentral:rRNA from 1 species